ACAGGGGGGGCAAGCGUUGUUCGGAAUUACUGGGCGUAAAGGGCUCGUAGGCGGCCAACUAAGUCACACGUGAAAUCCCCAGGCUUAACCUGGGAACUGCGUGUGAUACUGGAUGGCUUGAAUUCGGGAGAGGGAUGCAGAAUUCCAGGUGUAGCGGUGAAAUGCGUAGAUAUCGAGAGGAACACCUGCGGCGAAGGCGGGUUGCUGGGCUGACACUGACGCUGAUGCGCGAAAGCUAGGGGAGCGAACGGGA
rnacentral:rRNA from 1 species